rnacentral:rRNA from 1 species
CUAAUACCCAAUGAUAUCUCUAGAAGGCAUCUGAAAGAGAUUAAAGAUUUAUCGGUGAUGGAUGGGGAUGCGUCUGAUUAGCUUGUUGGCGGGGUAACGGCCCACCAAGGCAACGAUCAGUAGGGGUCCUGAGAGGAAGGUCCCCCACAUUGGAACUGAGACACGGUCCAAACUCCUACGGGAGGCAGCAGUGAGGAAUAUUGGUCAAUGGACGAGAGUCUGAACCAGCCAAGUAGCGUGCAGGAGGACGGCCCUAUGGGUUGUAAACUGCUUUUAUAAGGGAAUAAAGUGAGUCUCGUGAGACUUUUUGCAUGUACCUUAUGAAUAAGGACCGGCUAAUUCCGUGCCAGCAGCCGCGGUAAUACGGAAGGUCCGGGCGUUAUCCGGAUUUAUUGGGUUUAAAGGGAGCGUAGGCCGGAGAUUAAGCGUGUUGUGAAAUGUAGAUGCUCAACAUCUGAACUGCAGCGCGAACUGGUUUCCUUGAGUACGCACAAAGUGGGCGGAAUUCGUGGUGUAGCGGUGAAAUGCUUAGAUAUCACGAAGAACUCCGAUUGCGAAGGCAGCUCACUGGAGCGCAACUGACGCUGAAGCUCGAAAGUGCGGGUAUCGAACAGGAUUAGAUACCCUGGUAGUCCGCACGGUAAAC